GAUGAAGAACGUAGCGAAAUGCGAUAAGUAGUGUGAAUUGCAGAAUUCAGUGAAUCAUCGAAUCUUUGAACGCACAUUGCGCCCCUUGGUAUUCCAUGGGGCAUGCCUGUUCGAGCGUCAUUUGUACCUUCAAGCUCUGCUUGGUGUUGGGUGUUUGUCUCGCCUCUGCGUGUAGACUCGCCUCAAAACAAUUGGCAGCCGGCGUAUUGAUUUCGGAGCGCAGUACGUCUCGCGCUUUGCACUCAUAACGACGACGUCCAAAAGUACAUUUUUACACUCUUGACCUCGGAUCAGGUAGGGAUACCAGCUGAACUUAAGCAUAUCAAUAAGCGGAGGA
rnacentral:misc_RNA from 1 species